UACGGAGGGUGCGAGCGUUGUCCGGAAUCACUGGGCGUAAAGGGCUCGUAGGCGGCCGGCUAAGUCCGACGUGAAAUCCCCCAGGCUUAACCUGGGAACUGCGUCGGAUACUGGCGGGCUUGAAUCCGGGGAGAGGGGAUGCGGAAUUCCAGGUGUAGCGGUGAAAAUGCGUAGAUAUCUGGAGGAACACCGGUGGCGAAGGCGACAUCCUGGACCGGUAUUGACGCUGAGGCGCGAAAAGCCAGGGGGAGCAAAACGGG
rnacentral:rRNA from 1 species